GCGUCGGUGGUGCAACGGUUUAGCACAUGCUCCUGGAAAGAGUAGGAUCUUGUGUUCAAAUUCGGCUGACGCA